rnacentral:rRNA from 1 species
AUCUCUGUAGAGUCUGCAUAUCAAUAAGCGGAGGAAAAGAAACUAACAAGGAUUCCCUUAGUAACGGCGAGUGAAGCGGGAAGAGCUCAAAUUUGAAAUCUUCAAGGUUCUACCUUGACGAAUUGUAGUUUAAAGAAGUGUUUUCUGUUAGAUGAGUAGCAAAAGUUCCUUGGAAUGGGACAUCAUAGAGGGUGAGAAUCCCGUAUUUGGUUAUUCAUUCUAGCUUUGUGAUACACUUUCAAAGAGUCGGGUUGUUUGGGAAUGCAGUCCAAAAUGGGUGGUAAAUUUCAUCUAAAGCUAAAUAUUGGCGAGAGACCGAUAGCGAACAAGUACCGUGAGGGAAAGAUGAAAAGUACUUUGAAAAGAGAGUUAAACAAUACGUGAAAUUGUCAAAAGGGAAGCGUUUGACACCAGUGUUGUUUUUCCGAAAAUCAAUUACGAAUGGCUUGAUUCUGUGUUGUAUUGACCUUAUCAGCUUUCUUCACUUUUUUCGAGUCUUUCUUAAUGCACUUUUCGGUUAACAAGUCAACAUCAAUUUCUUUUGUUGUAAAAGAGUAUUCGGAAGGUGGCUUUCUUUUCGGAGAAAGUGUUUAUAGCCCUAUACUUCUACAAUCGGAGAGAUUGAGGUCUGCAGCGUAGAUCCUUCGGGGUUAGAUACACUUGUGCUAAGUUGUAGCUUUUCAUAGACAACUUGUUGACUAUGUUUAGUCACUUGCGGCUUACUCGCUUGUGCUAUUUUACCUACGCUUAGGAUGUUGACGAGACUGUCGAUCUC